UGGGGGAUAUUGCACAAUGGGCGAAAGCCUGAUGCAGCGACGCCGCGUGGGGGAUGAAGGCCUUCGGGUUGUAAACUUCUUUUGCUCUGAACAAGGCGCACCAUGGGGUGUGUUGAGUGUAGGGGUUGAUUAGCGCCGGCUAACUACGUGCCAGCAGCCGCGGUAAUACGUAGGGCGCGAGCGUUGUCCGGAAUUAUUGGGCGUAAAGGGCUUGUAGGUGGCUGGUUGCGUCUGUCGUGAAAGCUCAUGGCUUAACUGUAGGUUUGCGGUGGGUACGGGCUGGCUUGAGUGCAGUAGGGGAGGCUGGAGUUCCUGGUGUAGCGGUGGAAUGCGCAGAUAUCAGGAGGAAUACCGGUGGCGAAGGCGGGUCUCUGGGCUGUUACUGACACUGAGGAGCGAAAGCAUGGGGAGCGAACAGG
rnacentral:rRNA from 1 species